UUCACGGAGAGUUUGAUCCUGGCUCAGGACGAACGCUGGCGGCGUGCUUAACACAUGCAAGUCGAGCGAGAAAGCACCUUCGGGUGUGAGUACAGCGGCGAACGGGUGAGUAACACGUGGGCAACCUGCCCCAGAGACUGGGAUAACGUCCCGAAAGGGACGCUAAUACCGGAUGAUGCGCGACCUGCCAAGUGGGUCGCGCCAAAUGGUAGCGUAAGCUUCUACUCUGGGAUGGGCCCGCGCCGGAUUAGCUUGUUGGUGAGGUAACGGCUCACCAAGGCGACGAUCCGUAGCUGGUCUGAGAGGACGAUCAGCCACACUGGGACUGAGACACGGCCCAGACUCCUACGGGAGGCAGCAGUGGGGAAUCUUGCGCAAUGGGCGAAAGCCUGACGCAGCAACGCCGCGUGAGCGAAGACGGCCUUCGGGUUGUAAAGCUCUGUCAGGAGGGACGAAGCCACUCAGGUGAAUAGCCGAGAGGGUGACGGUACCUCCAGAGGAAGCCCCGGCUAACUACGUGCCAGCAGCCGCGGUAAUACGUAGGGGGC
rnacentral:rRNA from 1 species